GACGCACAGUUUAUACCGUAGCUUGCUACACCAUAGACUGUGAGUUGCGAACGGGUGAGUAACGCGUAGGUAACCUACCUAUUAGAGGGGGAUAACUAUUGGAAACGAUAGCUAAUACCGCAUAACAGUAUGUAACACAUGUUAGACGCUUGAAAGAUGCAAUUGCAUCGCUAGUAGAUGGACCUGCGUUGUAUUAGCUAGUAGGUAGGGUAAUGGCCUACCUAGGCAACGAUACAUAGCCGACCUGAGAGGGUGAUCGGCCACACUGGGACUGAGACACGGCCCAGACUCCUACGGGAGGCAGCAGUAGGGAAUCUUCGGCAAUGGGGGGAACCCUGACCGAGCAACGCCGCGUGAGUGAAGAAGGUUUUCGGAUCGUAAAGCUCUGUUGUUAAGGAAGAACGAGUGUGAGAAUGGAAAGUUCAUGCUGUGACGGUACUUAACCAGAAAGGGACGGCUAACUACGUGCCAGCAGCCGCGGUAAUACGUAGGUCCCGAGCGUUGUCCGGAUUUAUUGGGCGUAAAGCGAGCGCAGGCGGUUAGAAAAGUCUGAAGUGAAAGGCAGUGGCUCAACCAUUGUAGGCUUUGGAAACUGUUUAACUUGAGUGCAGAAGGGGAGAGUGGAAUUCCAUGUGUAGCGGUGAAAUGCGUAGAUAUAUGGAGGAACACCGGUGGCGAAAGCGGCUCUCUGGUCUGUAACUGACGCUGAGGCUCGAAAGCGUGGGGAGCGAACAGGAUUAGAUACCCUGGUAGUCCACGCCGUANACGAUGAGUGCUAGGUGUUAGGUCCUUUCCGGGACUUAGUGCCGCAGCUUACGCAUUAAGCACUCCGCCUGGGGA
rnacentral:rRNA from 1 species